rnacentral:misc_RNA from 1 species
GAAGUGACAUAAUCUGUUUUCUGUCUUUCUUUUAUCUCCGCUUCUAUCAUAUGUGAUGCCUAAAUAAGAUUGCUUUCACAUGUGUGCAUGGGUUUGUUGUCAUUUAUGUGCAUUUUAGGAAUGCUUUCAAACAAAGGAAUUGGAUGUGGAACUACUCAGAAUUUAUUUUAUAUGGUGUUUUAUGUUUUUCAGAUAGAUUCUGAGUUUUGUUAUUCUGGUUUAUGAUCAUUGUGCUUUGUAUACCUUAAGCUGGGAUUGGGAAUUGAGAUGAGUUCCCAGUUUUUGUACCUUCAUGACAGGAGACAUAGAGAAGAAUUUAAGGUAGUGACAAUGUGAUUGUUUGGUAUAAAUGACUAUCCCAUAGACAACUUCUGAUACAAAAGAAUGCUCUAGCUAUUUCCCUUGUAAAGUUUAAACUAUCUCUGGUGUUAAUAUUUUUAUCCAAAAAAAAAAAACUCUGUUGUUAAUACUGCUCUUGCACUGAGUCCAACGAAUAGGAUUGAGGAUACUGGUUUUGAUGCUACUUCACCUUCACUGAUCAAGUUUCUGGCAAGAAAAUGACAAGUGAAGAAAAUCUAAUUGUUAUCAGCUUCUAUGAGCGAAACAAAUCUAACUUAAAACACAAAGGGAUGCCUAUCAGUGUGAUCUACUGUGCAAAAGUCUAAUGAUUAUCAUUCAUUACUUCUCAAAAUUUUGGAUAGAGUAAAGGCUUUAACAGUAUAUUGAGAUCAUAAAUAAAAGUAUUUAUCGUAUAUGUUCAUCAUGGGUCACGAUGAUACUUCAAUUUUAUGGAAAAAAAGGUAACCUCUUAUGUCCCCCUUAACUUUUCUUUACAGGGUUCUUAUUAUUGGAUGAUGCAUAUAGUAUUGCUCAGUAUGCAUUAGAUUUUUAAGCCACUGAUGUAUAGUAAGCCUACCUCUUCAUAUGGAGAAGGUAGCUUGCAAUGUUCUGUUUCCCAUUCCUUUGGCAUAGUGAUUCAAAACUUAAGGUAACUUGGCUAUUUAAUUUAAUUUGAAAGCUAGAGUUGGUAACUGUGCUAGUAAUUUGUUACUGGAGUUUGAAACAUAAGUGUUUAAUCUCUGAAGUACAAUAUUUAGAUAUUUUUAUUGAGCAUGGAAAUUAGUUCCAACUGUUGCUGCUGCUGUUCAAGGUUUGACUAUGCCACUAUUGGGAUGUCUUUUUUCCAUGUCCUCUGAGUUGUCGUCACAUUUAUAAUGUUUUGAAAGUAAUGUGUUUAACCCUGGCCUGUUUAAGUUUUGCAACUGUUGACCAAUCCUCUUUUUAGGAGUUUAAUGACUUGUAUCAUUAACAAAUUGAUUGCAGUGGCACUGCCCAAUUCUUAUGCAUGCCAGGUUUCUUCUCCACCAAUUGAUUUGUUAAUGAUUUCUUUUUUGUUAUUUCCUCUCAUUAAUAUGCUCAUAUAUUUUCUUUUAUAUAUGGGUUCUCUCUCUGGGCUUAUUAUUAUUAUUAUUAUUAUU